rnacentral:lncRNA from 1 species
GAUGACACCUAGUCAUACGAUAUUUUUAGAGUCAUUUUAGUGUCAAUUCUCAGUAGUAUCGAGUUAUAUUCAGCCAAUUAUGUUAAGUUUAGGUCAUUUUGCAAAGAGUUGAAGAUUUGGAUGCAUAUUGAAGAUAAUUGUUGUUCAAGCCAAUUAUAUGAAGAAAACUAGAAGAUUCUCACACUGCAAGCUGCGCCUCGCGCAGAAUGAUUGAACAAAAUGCAAGUCGGUCUCUGGUUGCUGCGCCUCGC